rnacentral:rRNA from 1 species
UGGCGACCAUAGCGUUGUGGACCCACCUGAUUCCAUACCGAACUCAGAAGUGAAACGCAAUAGCGCCGAUGGUAGUGUGGGGCUUCCCCAUGUGAGAGUAGGACAUCGCCAGGCU